UGAAGAACUCUCAUGUUCAGAGAAUGAAGGUUGCGGAGAUGAGGAUGCUCAGGUGGAUGUGCGGGCUCACCAGGUUAGAUAAGAUUAAAAAUAAAGUUAUUCGAGAUAAGGUGGGGGCCCGGUGGAUGAGAAGAUGCGAGAAGCGAGGCUGAGGUGGUUUGGACAUGUGCGGAGGAGAAGCCUUGAUACCCCCGUGAGGAGUUGUGAGCGGCUGGCGAUUGUCGGCGUUCGGCGAGGCAGAGGGAGGCCUAAGAAGUAUUGGGGAGAGGUGAUUAGGCAUGACAUGGCUAGAAUGCGGGCUUCCGAGGACAUGACCCUUGAUAGGAAAAUCUGGAGGUCUAGUAUUAGGGUUGUAGGAUAGGGCUCCUAGAGUUUUUGAUACUCCUCACCCGGGCUUGGGUGAGCCUUGGUAGGGCUAUCCAUAGAUGGUAUGUGUUUUGGUUUGUGUCUCCCUUAUGGUAGUUAUUUAUGGUAGUUACUGUAUGAUACUAUUGC
rnacentral:lncRNA from 1 species